UACGAACUGUGCGAACGUUAUUCGGAAUCACUGGGCUUAAAGGGUGCGUAGGCGGCUGCCUAAGUCAGGUGUGAAAUCUCCCGGCUCAACCGGGAAACUGCGCUUGAUACUGGGCGGCUCGAGUGAGGUAGGGUGUGUGGAACUUCCGGUGGAGCGGUGAAUGACGUUGAUAUCGGAAGGAACGCCGGUGGCGAAAGCGACGUACUGGACCUCUCUGACGCUGAGGCGCGAAAGCUAGGGGAGCAAACGGG
rnacentral:rRNA from 1 species